rnacentral:lncRNA from 1 species
AUCAAUCAUAGAUCACUAAGGUCUUUCUUAAGCUUGUAAUGGGGCUAGGCUACAAGAAAUCAUUGUUUUUCUUUGGAUUCAAAAAGCCUUAAGGAUAAGAGAGCACACAAAAUCUUCAAAAAUUCAUCUUAUGAUUCAUUUACUCCCUUUCACUUUCCCCAUAUUUCCAUUUGUGGUGAUUCUUUUAUUUUGACACUUUUUUACAAAGAAUUUCUUUCUUUUCUCAUUUCUU